UAUUAGUCUGCAUCCGAGAAAUAUUAAA
rnacentral:piRNA from 1 species